CCCACUAUGGGUCCCGCUAUGGGUCCUGCUACGUGUCCUGCUAUGGGUCCCGCUAUGGGUCCUGCUAUGGGUCCCGCUAUGGGUUCCACUAUGGGUCACUGAGUCCCGCUAUGGGUCGCUAUGGGUCUCUAUGGGUCGCUAUGGGUCCCACUAUGGGUCGCUAUGGGUCUCUAUGGGUCCCGCUAUGGGUCCUGCUAUGGGUUCCACUAUGGUUCACUAUGAGUCCCGCUAUGGGUCCCGCUAUGGGUCUCUAUGGGUCGCUAUGGGUCCCACUAUGGGUCGCUAUGGGUCUCUAUGGGUCCCGCUAUGGGUCCCGCUAUGGGUCGCUAUGCGUCUCUAUGGGUCCCGCUAUGGGUCCUGCUAUGUGUCCCGCUAUGGGUCGCUAUGGGUCCCGCUAUGGGUUCCACUAUGGGUCACUGAGUCCCACUAUGGGUCGCUAUGGGUCCCGUUAUGGGUCCCGCUAUGGGUCGCUGUGGGCCCCGCCACCCCAUCCCGCUCCACUUCCUACAGGGAAACCCCGCCCCGCCCCCAUGCCGCAAGCCACGCCCCCUCUCCCAUAUAAGGGCAAGCACCCCUCCCUCGGCCCCGCCCACACGGCUCAAGCACCGCCCCCUUCUCAAACCCCGCCCCCUUUUCAGACCACGCCCCCUCGGGGGCCGCGCCGCGUUUUUAUUGGCUCAGAGCAUCCCGCGCACGCGCGCCAGCGCCUCCUCCACCUUCCGCAGCUCCGCCUCCGCCUGCG
rnacentral:lncRNA from 1 species